AGAGUUUGAUCCUGGCUCAGGAUGAACGCUGGCGGCGUGCUUAACACAUGCAAGUCGAACGGACUCAUAUUGAAACCUAGUGAUUUAUGAGUUAGUGGCGGACGGGUGAGUAACGCGUGGAAAACCUGCCGUAUACUGGGGGAUAACACUUAGAAAUAGGUGCUAAUACCGCAUAAGCGCACAGCUUCGCAUGAAGUGGUGUGAAAAACUCUGGUGGUAUACGAUGGUUCCGCGUCUGAUUAGCUUGUUGGUGGGGUAAUGGCUCACCAAGGCGACGAUCAGUAGCCGGCCUGAGAGGGUGAACGGCCACAUUGGGACUGAGACACGGCCCAAACUCCUACGGGAGGCAGCAGUGGGGAAUAUUGCACAAUGGGGGAAACCCUGAUGCAGCGACGCCGCGUGAGUGAAGAAGUAUUUCGGUAUGUAAAGCCCUAUCAGCAGGGAAGAAAAUGACGGUACCUGAUUAAGAAGCCCCGGCUAACUACGUG
rnacentral:rRNA from 1 species